rnacentral:rRNA from 1 species
AGUGAACGCUGGCGGUAGGCCUAACACAUGCAAGUCGAACGGCAGCACAGUAAGAGCUUGCUCUUACGGGUGGCGAGUGGCGGACGGGUGAGGAAUACAUCGGAAUCUACUUUUUCGUGGGGGAUAACGUAGGGAAACUUACGCUAAUACCGCAUACGACCUACGGGUGAAAGCAGGGGAUCUUCGGACCUUGCGCGAUUGAAUGAGCCGAUGUCGGAUUAGCUAGUUGGCGGGGUAAAGGCCCACCAAGGCGACGAUCCGUAGCUGGUCUGAGAGGAUGAUCAGCCACACUGGAACAGAGACACGGUCCAGACUCCUACGGGAGGCAGCAGUGGGGAAUAUUGGACAAUGGGAGCAAGCCUGAUCCAGCCAUACCGCGUGGGUGAAGAAGGCCUUCGGGUUGUAAAGCCCUUUUGUUGGGAAAGAAAAGCAGCAGGUUAAUACCCCGCUGUUCUGACGGUACCCAAAGAAUAAGCACCGGCUAACUUCGUG